rnacentral:lncRNA from 10 species
CCCACACAGAUGGGAUUUGGGCAUAGGUUUGGUUUCCCAGGGGGCAGUGCUGAGCUCUUUGCCAGUGGGAAAUGGGAUGCUGGUGAUUUCCAGUAGGUGACCUCACAGUGACUCAAGCUACCACUUACUGUUGAUUGUGACGAAAUGCCAGCUGAGGCACAUGCCUUGGGAGCUAAGUGGUUGCUGCCCUUGACCACUGUGAAGACUGGUGUGGGAAGGGUCGUUUUGGAUGCACUUGAGCAGGGGUCCCCAACCCCUGAGCCAUGGAGCCGCAAGGAGCCACACAGCAGGAGGUGGGAACAUCCAGUUGCGGGAAAACAAGCUUAACACGCCCACUGAUUCUACAUUAUGGGUCUCCCUCUGUUGUCCAAG